ACGGGAGGCAGCAGUGAGGAAUAUUGGUCAAUGGAGGCAACUCUGAACCAGCCAUCUCGCGUGAAGGAAUACGGCCCUACGGGUCUUAAACUUCUUUUAUAGGGGGAUAAAGUGAGAUAUGUAUAUCUUUUUGUAGGUACCCUAUGAAUAAGCAUCGGCUAACUCCGUGCCAGCAGCCGCGGUAAUACGGAGGAUGCGAGCGUUAUCCGGAUUUAUUGGGUUUAAAGGGUGCGUAGGCGGAAGGUCAAGUCAGCUGUGAAAUGUAGUCGCUCAACGUCUGCACUGCAGUUGAAACUGGCCUCCUUGAGUGCGUAAGAGGCGGGCGGAAUUCGUCGUGUAGCGGUGAAAUGCUUAGAUAUGACGAAGAACUCCGAUUGCGAAGGCAGCUCGCUGGGCCGCAACUGACGCUGAAGCUCGAAGGUGCGGGUAUCAAACAGGAUUAGAUACCCUGGUA
rnacentral:rRNA from 1 species